rfam:Schistosoma rodhaini strain Burundi genome assembly, scaffold: SROB_scaffold0000607
AUCCAGCCGAAGAGUCCAAAACAAGACGAAACGUUCAUCCUGGAU